GGCCCCUUAGCUCAGUGGUUAGAGCAGGCGACUCAUAAUCGCUUGGUCGCUGGUUCAACCCCAGCAGGGGCCACCA
rnacentral:tRNA from 1 species